rnacentral:rRNA from 1 species
GACGAACGCUGGCGGCGUGCUUAACACAUGCAAGUCGAACGGAAAGGCCCUGCUUUUGUGGGGUGCUCGAGUGGCGAACGGGUGAGUAACACGUGAGUAACCUGCCCUUGACUUUGGGAUAACUUCAGGAAACUGGGGCUAAUACCGGAUAGGAGCUCCUGCUGCAUGGUGGGGGUUGGAAAGUUUCGGCGGUUGGGGAUGGACUCGCGGCUUAUCAGCUUGUUGGUGGGGUAGUUGCUUACCAAGGCUUUGACGGGUAGCCGGCCUGAGAGGGUGACCGGCCACAUUGGGACUGAGAUACGGCCCAGAAUCCUACGGGAGGCAGCAGUGGGGAAUAUUGCACAAUGGGCGGAAGCCUGAUGCAGCAACGCCGCGUGCGGGAUAACGGCCUUCGGGUUGUAAACCGCUUUCGCCUGUGACGAAGCGUGAGUGACGGUAAUGGGUAAAGAAGCACCGGCUAACUACGUG